UACGUAGGGUGCGAGCGUUGUCCGGAAUUACUGGGCGUAAAGAGCUCGUAGGUGGUUUGUCGCGUUGUCCGUGAAAACUCACAGCUUAACUGUGGGCGUGCGGGCGAUACGGGCAGACUGGAGUACUGCAGGGGAGACUGGAAUUCCUGGUGUAGCGGUGGAAUGCGCAGAUAUCAGGAGGAACACCGGUGGCGAAGGCGGGUCUCUGGGCAGUUUCUGACACUGAGGCGCGACAGCGUGGGGAGCAAACAGG
rnacentral:rRNA from 1 species